GGAGAGGUGGCCGAGCGGUCGAAGGCGCACGAUUGGAAAUCGUGUAUACGGGAAACCGUAUCGAGGGUUCGAAUCCCUC
rnacentral:tRNA from 1 species